GUAGCCGCCGGAGACCACACCGAACCUCCUGUCUUUAGUGUUGUCUGAGCUUGAUAGCAAACCUAUUAAAACUUUCAACAAUGGAUCUCUUGGUUCCGGCAUCGAUGAAGAACGCAGCGAACUGCGAUAAGUAAUGUGAAUUGCAGAAUUCAGUGAAUCAUCGAGUCUUUGAACGCACAUUGCGCCCCCUGGCAUUCCGGGGGGCAUGCCUGUCCGAGCGUCAUUGCUGCCCUUCAAGCCCGGCUUGUGUGUUGGGUCGUCGUCCCCCCCGGGGGACGGGCCCGAAAGGCAGCGGCGGCACCGCGUCCGGUCCUCGAGCGUAUGGGGCUUUGUCACCCGCUCGAUUAGGGCCGGCCGGGCGCCAGCCGGCGUCUCCAACCUUCUAUUUUACCAGGUUGACCUCGGAUCAGGUAGGGAUACCCGCUGAACUUAAGCAUAUCAAUAAGGCAUCAGU
rnacentral:rRNA from 1 species